rnacentral:rRNA from 1 species
AACGGAGGGAUCUAGUGUUAUUCGUCUUGACUGGUGCGUAAAGGAUACGUAGGCGGUAAUGUAAGUUAAAGGAAAAGACUGGUAUUCUCAUACUUACAUUCUUUUUAUACCACAUUACUUGAGUUUGGUUGAUGUUCGGGUAUUCUAAAUGGAAAGGUGGAAUUUUCUGAUAUUAGAAGACCGUCGAAAGCGAAAGCACGUUACACAUUCAGAACUGACGCUAAGGUAUGAAGGUAUGGGGAGCAAAGAGG